AGAAUCAACGCUGGCGGCGUGCCUCAGACAUGCAAGUCGAACGAUUAAAGCUCUCUUCGGAGAGUGUAUAGAGUGGCGCACGGGUGAGUAACACGUAAGUAAUCUACCUUUGAGUGGGGAAUAACAGUCGGAAACGGCUGCUAAUACCGCAUAAUGCAGCGGCAUCGCAAGAUGACAGUUGUUAAAGGAGCAAUCCGCUUAAAGAGGAGCUUGCGGCAGAUUAGCUUGUUGGUAGGGUAACGCUUACCAAGGCUACGAUCUGUAUCCGGUCUAAGAGGACGGUCGGACACGACUGACACUAGAA
rnacentral:rRNA from 1 species